rnacentral:rRNA from 1 species
CGGGACACGUGGUAUCCUGUCUGAAUAUGGGGGGACCAUCCUCCAAGGCUAAAUACUCCUGACUGACCGAUAGUGAACCAGUACCGUGAGGGAAAGGCGAAAAGAACCCCGGCGAGGGGAGUGAAAAAGAACCUGAAACCGUGUACGUACAAGCAGUGGGAGCCUCUUAAUGGGGUGACUGCGUACCUUUUGUAUAAUGGGUCAGCGACUUAUAUUCUGUAGCAAGGUUAACCGAAUAGGGGAGCCGAAGGGAAACCGAGUCUUAACUGGGCGUUAAGUUGCAGGGUAUAGACCCGAAACCCGGUGAUCUAGCCAUGGGCAGGUUGAAGGUUGGGUAACACUAACUGGAGGACCGAACCGACUAAUGUUGAAAAAUUAGCGGAUGACUUGUGGCUGGGGGUGAAAGGCCAAUCAAACCGGGAGAUAGCUGGUUCUCCCCGAAAGCUAUUUAGGUAGCGCCUCGUGAAUUCAUCUCCGGGGGUAGAGCACUGUUUCGGCAAGGGGGUCAUCCCGACUUACCAACCCGAUGCAAACUGCGAAUACCGGAGAAUGUUAUCACGGGAGACACACGGCGGGUGCUAACGUCCGUCGUGAAGAGGGAAACAACCCAGACCGCCAGCUAAGGUCCCAAAGUCAUGGUUAAGUGGGAAACGAUGUGGGAAGGCCCAGACAGCCAGGAUGUUGGCUUAGAAGCAGCCAUCAUUUAAAGAAAGCGUAAUAGCUCACUGGUCGAGUCGGCCUGCGCGGAAGAUGUAACGGGGCUAAACCAUGCACCGAAGCUGCGGCAGCGACACUAUGUGUUGUUGGGUAGGGGAGCGUUCUGUAAGCCUGUGAAGGUGUGCUGUGAGGCAUGCUGGAGGUAUCAGAAGUGCGAAUGCUGACAUAAGUAACGAUAAAGCGGGUGAAAAGCCCGCUCGCCGGAAGACCAAGGGUUCCUGUCCAACGUUAAUCGGGGCAGGGUGAGUCGACCCCUAAGGCGAGGCCGAAAGGCGUAGUCGAUGGGAAACAGGUUAAUAUUCCUGUACUUGGUGUUACUGCGAAGGGGGGACG